rnacentral:rRNA from 1 species
AUACGUAGGGGGCGAGCGUUGUCCGGAAUGAUUGGGCGUAAAGGGCGCGUAGGCGGCCCGGUAAGUCUGGAGUGAAAGUCCUGCUUUUAAGGUGGGAAUUGCUUUGGAUACUGUCGGGCUUGAGUGCAGGAGAGGUAAGUGGAAUUCCCAGUGUAGCGGUGAAAUGCGUAGAGAUUGGGAGGAACACCAGUGGCGAAGGCGACUUACUGGACUGUAACUGACGCUGAGGCGCGAAAGUGUGGGGAGCAAACAGGAUUAGAUACCCUGGUGGUCCACACUGUAAACGAUGAAUGCUAGGUGUAGGGGGUAUCGACCCCUUCUGUGCCGCAGUUAACACAAUAAGCAUUCCGCCUGGGGAGUACGGCCGCAAGGUUGAAACUCAAAUGAAUUGGCGGGG